GUUUGACGUGAUCUCCCUAAUCAAGGGCGAAGCGAGGAAUUAAAAUUCAGGUGGUCAAAAUUUAGAUUUCAUACAAAAAAAAUUCGAUCUCGAAUAGUAAAAAAAAAAUUUAUCGGAUUCACUGAUAACGAUAAUAUGCUCAAAAAGGAACAAGACCGUAAGAAUUGAAAGGAAAGACCAAGAAAACACAAAUUUUGUUAAAACAAUUAAUUUGGCCUCCUAAAAUUAAAAUUUAUAAUAUUUUAAUUUUUAUUAUAAAGAAUUUUUAUAUAAUUUUAAAAGAUUUAGGAGAGGUCAUGGCCACUGUGGGCCCCUCAAUAGCUCUGUCCCUGUCUCUAAUUACCCACAUCCAAUUUCCUCAUUAUUAAUCUCCUACGAUUACCAU
rnacentral:lncRNA from 1 species